UACGGAGGUUGCGAGCGUUGUUCGGAAUAACUGGGCGUAAAGGGAGCGCAGGCGGUUCGGCAAGUCUAAAGUGGAAGCCCGGGGCUUAACCUCGGAAGUGCUUUGGAUACUACCGAGCUCGAGUUCGUGAGAGGAAAGCGGAAUUCCAGGUGUAGCGGUGAAAUGCGUAGAUAUCUGGAGGAACACCGGUGGCGAAAGCGGCUUUCUGGCACGAUACUGACGCUGAGGCUCGAAAGCAUGGGUAGCAAAC
rnacentral:rRNA from 1 species